GUGAGGGAAGGAGGCGCCGCGGCGGGGCCGGGCCGGCCCUGGGACGUCCGCGCUCUCCUCCUCCUCCGCGCCCGCGGCGGCGGCGUGCAGCCGGCAGGGCGAGAACAAGGGAGGGCGGCGGGAGGUGGGCAGGGGAGGGGGGCGGUCUGCACUCCGAAACGGCCCCCCCGCCGCCAGCGACGUAGAGAACCCCCCUCCCCUCCGCGGCGGCGCCCGAUCACGCUGCGGGGAGAGCCGGCAGGCAGGCGGGGGAGCGCGCGCGGGCUCAGGACUCCCGCGCCGGAUGUGAGGUCACGUGGUGGCUUCAUCCCCGCGCGGAGGGCGGAGGGGCGCGGGCGACGUCAGGAGGCGGGGAAGGGGCGGGGAGGGGCGGGGCGAUUUAUAGGCCCCGCCCACCCAUCGCCUUUGCCACCCUCGAACGGGCAAAAGAAAGAAAGAGGCAGGUAAGGGGAGGCGAGGCCGUCCAAAAACGCUGGGUGUCAGCCCGGGGUGGCUAAUGGAGGGCGGCUUUUCUGGUGGGAUGAAAUGGAACGGCAAAUCCCACUUCAUCCCCUUUGGGCUAUGACAACAUCAUAGUCCAAUCUCCCAUUUUAUGAACAGGGAAACUGAGGCUCAGUGACUAGACAGACGUUGCCCAGAGUCAUGGUCAUGGAGGAAGCUUGUGCUAGAAUGGUGGAGAGGAAACCAGAGCCCAGCUCCUAAUGCAAGGCUCUUUCAUUCCUUUAGCCACCCUCGCCCCCGCCAAAACAAACAGACAAAAAACUGUCAUUCUCAUAUGACCACGGACUCUGCGCCCCGGCCGCAGGCGGAGGACAGGGAGGAGCGCACACGAGAAAGCUCCCACGCGCCCGCGCCUCGCCUCCGACGGGAAGGCGCCUCUUCCGACCGUCCUGGAUGCAAAUUAAAUACUUCCCUCCGCAGAAGACUUAUCUCGGGGUAGGGCCGCAGCCGGAUUUCCAAAUCGCGGGUUUGAUUUUCGCUGCGUCCUCUCCGCGACGCGCGCAGGGAGCGCGCCCGGCCACCUGCAGCCUCUGGCUGCGGCCAUCUUUCCGCCUGGGGCCACCUGGCCUGCGCCCUUUGUGCCCGGCCCGCUCCGUGACUGUUCUUCUUGCCGCUACUUACAGAACUCAGCCGCCUUAGCGUCUUAGAGAAGAGGACGGCAUGCAUGCGGACCCCGUCCACCACACCUGGAGAGCAGGGAGCCCUUAGUCCCUGGACACUUACCAGGGCCGCCACCCCUGGUCCACGCACGUGAUGACAUCUCACCAGGGGCAGCACACCGCCCGAGUCCGCGACACUGAUAACACCUCCUGCGGGCAGGAGGGCGCCACAGCCACCCCUGGUCCCCUAGAUUGUGUGAGGCUAGCAUUUCUGCCCGCCUCUUGGCGUGGACAGCACGCUGGACCGAGAUGGAACCACAGCUUUCUCUUCCCAAUCCCUGGCCUCACCGUUUUGUUUCAUACCUCACCGUUUGUUUCAAACCUCGUGGUGUUGAAAUGAUUAAAUGAGAUUAAGGGGUGUGUGGUAGUGUUGGGCAAACCACAAGAAAACGGUCUGGGUGGGGUCUGGCCCUAAAAUCUUCCUCCCCCACCUCCCAGGCUUCCUUGCCUUGCUGCUUCCUCUCAGCCUUUAAACAGGUUGGCCUCUCCAAGUCCUAAAAACAAAAUUAUCAAGCCAACCUCCUCCUGAAGUGCUCCCUCCAACUAGCUUCCAAGUGUUUCAUGCGGACCUCAAACAAUGGUCUUCCCUGGCUGCCUCUGCUUCCUCAUUUCUCAACACUUGGCAUUCUGGCUUCUCCUCCCCAACUCUAACCCUUCACCUUGCUCAGGCAAGAGCAACUCAUGACUUUCAUUUUGCCAAACCUUGCAGGCAUUCCUCAGGCCUUAUCUCUCUGGUUCUUUCUGCUACAUUUGACACCUUGGGAUGACUCUCACCUUCUGGAAUCUCUCUACUACCUUGGUUUCAGAAGAGUGAACCCUCUGGAUUAUCACAUGAAGCUACUUCCUGUGAGCAGCCCAGGGAUGGCCAGUCACUUGUGACCUACUUUCAGAGCUGGCAGUUCUGACUUCUAGAACAAACUCGGAACAAGCCCAUCUACAGCUGGUUGACUGAGUUUCCUUUGGGCUCCUGGCACCAGAAAGAAUUGCUCACUGGAAGGAUCAUAGGUGGCACUCAUGUCUCACUGCCCCACUCAGCUUGCCUGUGUGGACUCCUGCCUGCUCUCUGUGCCAGGAUCCCGUGACAUGAAACAGAAUAAGUGCUUCAUAAACGGGAGUGACACUAGGCGUGGUGGCAUGCAUCUGGAGUCCUAGCUACGCGGGAGGCUGAGGCAGGAGGAUUGCCUGAGCCUAGGAGUUGGAGGCUCUAAUGCACUUGGAUAGCACCUAUGAAUAGCCAGUGCCCUCCAACCUGGGCAACAUAGUGAGCUCUUGUCACCAAAAAAAAAAAAAAAAAAGCUAGAAGAGAAUAAUUUGAAUAUUUCUAGCACAAAGAAAAGACAAAUAUUUAAGAUAAUGGAUAGCCCAGUUACACAGAUUUGAUCUUUACAAAUUAUAUGAAUGUAUUAAAUUAUCAUGGCUGGGUGCAGUGGCUCACACUUGUAAUCCCAGCACUUUUGGAGGCUGAGGUGGGUGGAUCAUCUGCGGUCAGGAGUUCCAGACCAGCCUGGCAAACACGGCAAACAUGUACUAAAAAUACAAAAAAUUAGCCAAGUGUGGUGGCAGGCACCUGUAAUCCCAGCAACUCAGGAGGCCGAGGCGGGAGAAUUGCUUGAACCUGGGAGGCAGAGUGCUUGCAGUGAGCCGAGACCGCACCACUGCUUUGUAGCCUGGGCAACAGAGUGAGAUGCCAUUUCAAUAAUAAUAAUAAACUAUCACAUGUAACCCCCAAAUAUGUACAUCAUUGUGUAUCAAUAAAAAUAAAUAAAUGUGAAUAAAUGACUGAGAGUAUGAAUAAUGCCAUCCCUCCAGCGCCCUUGCACUGUGGUUCUCCAGCACCUGCUACUUAGGUUUCUUCAGAUACCAGCUGCUCUGGGAGCUAUACCUUGUUUCAGGAUCUCAGUCACUGCCUUCAGCAGCCCACUAUCUGAUCCAAGCAGCCAUGGAUUCUCUUUUGUAUCCAGUCACUCCUGUACCCUCUUCCCUUUUAGGUUUUGCUACUGUCUUCAAACUUGCUUUGAAGAUUUGAGCUCCUGUGUCACCAGGUCACCCUCAGAGGCAUCAGGACAUGCUCUUCAAGUAAAGUCCAAAUGAGGGAUUAGACACUCUGGGCUUCAUUUCUCAGUGUCCUCUCUCAAGAGCUAGACUAUUACUUGCAUUUCUCAUCUCCUUGAAUCAUCAGCGCCUGGUGCUAUCAUUUAAAAUAGGGAAAGUUAUGAACUGGGUUAAAUUUUUUUUUUUUUUUUGAGAUAGAAUGUCACUUUGUUGCCCAGGCUAAAGUACAGUGGUGCAAUCUUGGUUCACUGCAACCUCCACCUCCCGAGUUCAAGCAAUUCUCCUGCCUCAGCCUCCCAAGUAGCUGGGAUUACAGGUGUUCACCACCAUGCCUGGCUAGUUUUUGUGCUUUUAGUAGAGACAGGGUUUCACCAUGUUGGCCAGGCUGGUCUCGAACUUAUGACCUCAAGUGAUCUGCCCGCCUCAGCCUCCCAAAGUGCUGGGAUUACAGGCGUGAGCCACCACACCCGGCCUCAAAAAAUAUUUUUUUAGAAAGAAAAAAGAAAGAAACAAAAACAAAUAAAAUAGGGAAAGAUGAUUAGUAAGUCUCUUCCUUUCCAGGGCCUUAGUUUUCCUACCUGUAAAAUACAGAGCAUGGUAUUUUUGGAGUCCAUGAAUCCACCAAGCACAGUAUCAUCUUUGCAUGGUGCUUUAAAGUAUAUAAAACAUUUUAGACAAACAAGAUCUUAUUUAACAAAAAAAUGCCCAAUAAAUGUUUGCUAACAGAAAUGAUAAUGCUGAUUCUGUGUGAGCUGAAAGAAGCCUGUUGAAGGUGAAUGUGUCGUCUAUCAUUAAGUCUGAGGACCAAUUAAAGUUAAAACAAGUAUGAGUCACUAAAUGUUAGAAUUAAUUUUGAAUCCCUUAGUUUAAUUCCUACAUGUUGUCAAUGCCUGAGGGAAAUGGUCUAGCCACAGGUGCCAGCUCAUAAGAAACGGGAAGGCCAGGUACGGUGGCUCACACCUGCCAUCCCAUCAUUUUGGGAGGCUGAGGCCAGCAGAUCAUUUGAGGCCAGGAGUUUGAGACCAGCCUGUGCAAUGUAGGGAGAUCUCUACAAAAAAGUAAUUAGCCAGACAUGGUGGUAUGCACCUGCAGUCCCCGCUGUUUGAGAGGCUGAGGCAGGAGGAUCACAUGAGCCUAGAAGUUCGAGGCCGCAGUGAGCUAUGAAUGCACCAUUGCACUCCAGCCUGAGCAAUAGAGUGAGACCUUGCCUCAAAAAUUAAAAAAUAAAAUAAAUAUAAAAAUAAAACAAGAGAGAGAGGGCACCGUCUCUGUGGUACUAUUUGGCUGUGUUACAUAACUGGCAUUUUAUUUGGAAAAAAAAAAUGUCCUCCAAGGGGUUCAUUUCCUCAGAUCAAAUGUCAUUCCAGGUGUUGGUAUGCAUUCGACGCGUGCAUUCUUCAGCCCUGGUUAUUCUGUUUUAUUUUAUGUAAAACUCUAUUUCAAAAUACAG
rnacentral:lncRNA from 1 species